rnacentral:rRNA from 1 species
GAGAUAUAUACUGUCUCAUAUAUAUAAAAUGAAUUUAAAUUUUUAGUAAAAAUGCUUAAAUAAUUUUAUGGGACGAUAAGACCCUAUAGAAUUUUAUAUUAAAAUUUUAUUAAUUAUUUAGUUAAAAUUUUAAUAUUUAGUUGGGAGGAUUAGUAAAUAAAAUUAACUUUAUUUUAAAAAUAAACUUUGAUUUAAGAAUAAAAUUUUGAUCUUAUAUUAUAAAUUAAAAGAAUAAAUUACCUUAGGGAUAACAGCGUAAUAUCUUUUUAAAGAUCAUAUUAAUAAAGAUGUUUGCGACCUCGAUGUUGAAUUAAGAUAAAUUUUAAAUGAAGAAAUUUAAAAAUUAAGUCUGUUCGACUUUUAAAAUCUUACAUGA